rnacentral:snoRNA from 1 species
AUCCUUUUGUAGUUUAUAAGUGUGAUGAUUGGGUUUUCAUGCUCAUGUGUGAGAUGUGCCUCCCUCAAACCUUGUUACAAUGUUGGCACAUUACCCAUCUGACG